UUAUGGUCGAUUUAUCAUUAUUACGAGGAUUCCUUGAACUGGAUACAGGCUAGAGAUAUCGAAUGCAUAUGGUGAUGAUCCAUCCUCGACCAUCAUGACGGAGGCACGUGCCGUGAAUUAAUCUUUUCGGUCAAGAAACUGAGCUCAAUAAAAUCAAUUACAUCUUGCGUAUUUGUUCAAGUGGUUGCAACCCCGUUUUUAUAUAGAGUCAUGUUUAUAACGUAUUAUUUAAUUCUCGAGUAAAGUAUACGCGAUACUUGAUUAAAGAUGUAACUUGGUACAUCUUGAUAUUGGUACUAUUCUUAUGUUUCAUGGUAUAAAUACUUAUUACGAUCUAGACUAUUUACAUCAAUAAUAUGAUUAUUUCUCAGCGUGUAACAGAUUAACUGAAAAAACCUGCGUUACAAUAAUACUCAAUUUAUGCGAAGCGUUACGGCUUACAUUUUGUGUGUCACGAUAAAGAUUUGGUGUGUCAAUGUUUAAUGUAAAGUGCUAUUCUUCUUGAUUUGCUUGAUGAAUAAUAAAGAUUAAUCAUUAUAUGAAUUUAUGUACCUCUCUUUAUUGUUAAGAAUAAGCACUUGAGAACAAAACAAGCUAUAUUUCGCUAUAGAUCAUUUAUGAUCAAAGGAACAUUGACGCAUUAACUCAAUUACAAUUAUUUCUUGUACAUAUAUUUCUUAAUAUUGAUGAAUGUUAUGCAUUAUUUUGUGAAUUGAAUAUAAUCGAUCCUUUCUUUGAGAAACAGAUAUGUAAUGAUAUAUUGACUACGUUAACAAGUCCAACAUAAAAUAACAUAUGAUAUUCAGUAUUCUUAGAUGAAUAUUAAUUGAUUAAAAACAAGAGAUUUAUUUCUUUCUUCAGAAUAUUAAAGAAAAGGACAAUUCUAUAAGAAUUAGAGAAAGGAUCACUCCAUAUGACUAAUCAUUUCUUUUUUUCUUGUAUUUUAUACAGCUUUAAUUUCUGUAUGACAUUUCUUUGUAUGAAUAUGCAUAUAUUUUGAUUGAUAAACAGCUAAGCGUUGAAUUGUAAGUCGGUAACAAAUAUAUAAUCUCAGUACAGUUCA